CCUCCUAAAAGUUUCCAUGCUGCUUUUUCCUGCCCCUUUCCAUGAUUCCACCAUGACUCCAAAACACGAAUUUUCUAGCUGUAGUGAAAAUGCUUUGGUCGAAGAUUGUCUUGCAAUUUUUUUUCUUUCAUUUAAAUGCUUGUAUUUCAGCAGGGGCAUUACAAGACCAAUAUCAUUUCUUCUUAACAAAGAUUGAUACCUACUGCCGUUGAAGAAGUAGUUGAUAUCUUUUUUUUUUCUUUUCUUUUUGUAAAUGCAUUUAAAAUAUGACCAGCAAGAAUACCAUUAUCUUUGUCUUGAAAAUUACCUCCUAGUUUCUUAUAAUUAAUUGAAACAUCGGAUGCAAGUGGGGAUGGUGCGGUUAGGGGUAUGUACGGGGAUAUCUUCCAAGCCAAGAUGCAUUGUCCUAAUCCCUGAAACUAUUAGUCAUUUCAGUCCUGUAAAAAGGUGAACUCCAAUCAUAACAUCAUCCUUUUUAAUCAUUCAAGGACCGAAUAGCUAGAGAAGUAAUUGCUUACUGAAGUCUUAUAUGAUUGUCAUUUGCCUUAGUAUGUAGAAAUUAUAACUUACAUAGGAUGUGCAAGCUUUGGCCCAGCAACUCUGUCCCCUCUUUAGGGGGAGUUGCUUCUACUUUAAUCUUUGGGGAUUUAACCCCAUUUCAUGGUAGAAAGAGAGACAAAAAGAGAAGACUUUUAGAACCAAUUCUGCAAGUAUGGAAAAGAACAGCAUUAGCUUGCUUUCUGUUUAUUAGAAUUACUGGUGAUGUGGUUCCUCAGUUAGAGUGCAGGGGCCGUUCACUUUUAUGUAAAGUCUGCAGUUAAUCAGUGUUAAAUGUUCUGUUCACAUUUGUGAAGUUGUACUAAAUUGUAACGCUUAUUCUGAAAGCGCUUUAACAGGCUUAAAUAUUUAUGUAGGAGUAUAAGUUUUCUUUCUUAGAUGAUAAUGUUUGCUUGUGAACAGGCCAAAGUACUCGGAUGGUAAUUGGUAGCGCAAAAUUUGUCGGCACAUGCAUGACUUUAAGUCGGAGUUGUUGCAUCCGGAGACACUCAUAGACAAGGUCAAUUGCUACAUUCCAAUUCAAAUUGGGAAGUCAUGUAUCAAUUUUCAUUCACAAUCUUCGUUGUUUUGCAUUGAAGAGAAAUAAGCUUCUCGGCUUAGACUUUAGAGGUGGUGGUUUCCAGCAUUUUGAUUAGGAGAAUCAGGCAUGUUUUAAUUUACUAAUGCUCAUGGUAUUUAGUACUUUCUCAGUUUAGCUUAAUGGAAAUUGUUCCUUAAAUCUUUA